rnacentral:rRNA from 1 species
GAUGAACGCUGGCGGCGUGCCUAAUACAUGCAAGUCGAGCGAACAGAUGAGGAGCUUGCUCCUCUGACGUUAGCGGCGGACGGGUGAGUAACACGUGGAUAACCUACCUAUAAGACUGGGAUAACUUCGGGAAACCGGAGCUAAUACCGGAUAAUAUAUUGAACCGCAUGGUUCAAUAGUGAAAGACGGUUUUGCUGUCACUUAUAGAUGGAUCCGCGCCGCAUUAGCUAGUUGGUAAGGUAACGGCUUACCAAGGCAACGAUGCGUAGCCGACCUGAGAGGGUGAUCGGCCACACUGGAGCUGAGACACGGUCCAGACUCCUACGGGAGGCAGCAGUAGGGAAUCUUCCGCAAUGGGCGAAAGCUUGACGGAGCAACGCUGCGUGAGUGAUGAAGGUCUUCGGAUCGUAAAACUCUGUUAUUAGGGAAGAACAAAUGUGUAAGUAACUAUGCACGUCUUGACGGUACCUAAUCAGAAAGCCACGGCUAACUACGUG